UACGUAGGAGGCAAGCGUUGUCCGGAUUUAUUGGGCGUAAAGAGCGUGUAGGCGGCCUGACAGGUCUGCUGUGAAAACUCGAGGCUCAACCUCGAGAUGUCGGCGGAAACCGUCUGGCUAGAGUCCGGAAGAGGAGAGUGGAAUUCCUGGUGUAGCGGUGAAAUGCGCAGAUAUCAGGAAGAACACCUAUGGCGAAGGCAGCUCUCUGGGACGGUACUGACGCUGAGACGCGAAAGCGUGGGGAGCGAACAGG
rnacentral:rRNA from 1 species